GGGGCCUAGUAGGGCUCCAGCUUCACUGUAGGCACUUUAUAAAUGUUUUCUUCUAUUUUCUUUUCCUCCAGCUUUAUUGAGAUCUUAUAUUUUAAAUUCUGAAAAAUGUAAUAUACUAUGUAUUUUAUACAUCAAGGCCUGAGAAUUCUCUUCUAAGUAAAGAGCAUAAGCAGUUUGGGACUCUUCACCCAACUCCUGUUUUGUUGCUCUGCCAUUUUCAAGAACCUCUGGGUUCCUGCUCAUGGUUCAUGAUGGCUGCUUCAGCUGUUGCCAACAUAUAUAUCUGUGUCCAAAUGAUCAAGAAGAGAGAAACGGACAAGGGUGAGACAUGACCACUUCUUUUAAGAGCACGAUCUGCAAGACGCACAAAUUAUUUUUGCUUUUGUCCUGAACUUAGUCACAUGACCUGCAAGAGAGACUUGAAUAUGUCAUCUUUAGCUAUGUGACUGUGUACCUAGUUAUGCUCCAGCUGCUCUGUUACUCAAGAAAGGGACGGUGAAUAUUGGGAGACAAGCAGGAGACUCUGCCACGGACUGAGAGAGAUAACCCAUUGUCCUAUCUAUGGCCUGCUGGCAGUGUUUUCAGAGAAAAGACUUGGUAGAUUUCCCAUUGCACUCAUAAACACUCAGAGCUAUCGUAGCCUUCAAGAUUCCUGCAUAUCCCCGACUCUACCCUCAUCUAAAGUAGCGUCCCUAAACCACUCUGCUAUUCUCUUACCCUGUUUUCCCUCAUAGCAUUUACCACUACAUAUCACUAUAUAUUAUGUUUAUUGUUUGUCUUCUGCCCUAGAAUGAGUUCUCUGAAGGCAGAGACUUUGUUGUGUUGAUUACUACCUCCCGUGAACCUAGAAAAAUGCUUACUACUACAUGGUAAGCAGUCAGUAAUUGCAGCAUGAAUGAAUGUCCUUUCUCCCAACACUGACAGUGACUUGAGCAUAUUUAUUCCAUUAUUCAUGUAUUCAGUCCUUAUUUACAUGUACUAUGAGUAAACCACUAUGCUACAUAGUUUGAGGAGUAAAAAGUCUGGUUGCCUAUGAUUCCACUCUCAAUCUUAGUCUAGCAUGGGGAUUCUGGUUCAAAAUGGUGACAGGAAGAUCUUGAACUCACCUCCUCCCAUGGACACACUGAGCC
rnacentral:lncRNA from 1 species